rnacentral:rRNA from 1 species
UACGAAGGGGGCUAGCGUUGUUCGGAUUUACUGGGCGUAAAGCGCACGUAGGCGGUUUGUUAAGUCAGGGGUGAAAUCCUGGAGCUCAACUCCAGAACUGCCUUUGAUACUGAAGAUCUUGAGUUCGGGAGAGGUGAGUGGAACUGCGAGUGUAGAGGUGAAAUUCGUAGAUAUUCGGAAGAACACCAGUGGCGAAGGCGGCUCACUGGUCCGGUACUGACGCUGAGGUGCGAAAGCGUGGGGAGCAAACAGG